rnacentral:rRNA from 1 species
GACGAACGCUGGCGGCGUGCCUAAUAAAUGCAAGUAGAACGCAGUUGCGAACGGGUGAGUAACGCGUAGGUAACUGCCUCAAAGCGGGGGAUAACUAUUGGAAACGAGAGCUAAUACCACAUACAGUGAGAUGGAACUGCGUUGUAUUAGUUAGUUGGUGAGGUAAAGGCUCACCAAGGCGACGAUACACAGCCGACCUGAGAUGUUGAUCGGCCACACCUGUACUGCGACACCGCCCCGACUCCUACGGGAGGCAGCAGUAGGUAAUUUUCGGCAAUGGACGGAAGUCUGACCCAGCAACGCCGCGUGAGUGAAUAAGGUUUUCGGAUCGUAAAGCUCUGUUUUUAGAGAAGCGUUACCUAACCAGAAAGGGACGGCUAACUACGUGCCAGCAGCCGCGGUAAUAC